AUUGAACGCUGGCGGCAGGCCUAACACAUGCAAGUCGAGCGGACAAAGGGAGCUUGCUCCUGGCUUCAGCGGCGGACGGGUGAGUAAUGCAUAGGAAUCUGCCUGGUAGAGGGGGAUAACGUCCGGAAACGGGCGCUAAUACCGCACACGUCCUGAGGGAGAACGUGGGGGAUCUUCGGACCUCACGCUAUCAGCUGAGCCUAGGUCGGAUUAGCUAGUUGGUAGGGUAAAGGCGUACCAAGGCGACGAUCCGUAACUGGUCUGAGAGGAUGAUCAGUCACACUGGAACUGAGACACGGUCCAGACUCCUACGGGAGGCAGCAGUGGGGAAUAUUGGACAAUGGGCGAAAGCUUGAUCCAGCCAUGCCGCGUGUGUGAUGAAGGUCUUCGGAUUGUAAAGCACUUUUAUUUGGGAGGAAGGGAAGUAUGUUAAUACCUUGCUGUUUUGACGUUACCAACAGAAUAAGCACCGGCUAACUUCGUG
rnacentral:rRNA from 1 species